rnacentral:rRNA from 1 species
ACGAAAGUCUGACGCAGCGACGCCGCGUGAGCGAUGAAGGCCUUCGGGUUGUAAAGCUCUGUCAGAGGGGAAGAAAUUUUGACGGUACUUUGGAGGAAGCCCCGGCUAACUACCUGCCACCAGCCGCCGUAAUACGAACUGGGCGAGCGUUAUUCGGAAUUACUGGGCGUAAAGGGUGUGUAGGCGGCUCUGAAGGUCAGGUGUGAAAUCCCACGGCUCAACCGUGGAACUGCGCCUGAAACCACGUAGCUUGAGGAAGUCAGAGGUAAGCGGAACUGAUGGUGGAGCGGUGAAUGCGUUGAUAUCAUCAGGAACA